AAAGAGAGAAACUGCAGUCACUCUCAGAGUGAGAGAAGUUAAGUCCCUAGUCCUGCUUUGAAGCCUUUCUACAAGAGGAGGAAAGUGGCACAUCUACUGCACUGGUUGCAAAGUUUACUAAUUGAGAUCUCUGAGCAUGGAGACAGGCAGC